CAGACCGAGUAGUUUAAUUGAAGUUCAGUUUAUGAACAUUGAGAACAUAAUUCUCUUAACAAUUUGGUCCUUUGAGAGUCGGAUCUCAAUACCUGCCUCUGUCGUUCCAAAAGAACUGCUGAAAACAGUGCACGGGCAGAUCCAGGAUCCGUAAGACAAAGACCUGACCUCUGACUUGAGGGUAUAUUUCAGGCCAGUGGUGAACUGAUACAUGACAGAGUUGGUGAUGAGAUCCAAUCUACAUUGCUUUUCCCAGUCUUCAAGACGAAGCAGAAAGAUUUGGCCCAUAGGUUCAACAUCCACCAAUCGACAGUGAGACGGAUUGUCAUCUCUUGGGCCAACUUCCUCUGAUGUCUGCUUGGAUCAGCACAGAUAUGGCUCCCCAAGGAAACCAUCAAAGGCCACCUGAGUUCAAGGACUAUCCAGACACCCAGGUAGUGAUCGACUGCACUGAACUCCGCUGUCAGACACCAUCUUCACUACUACUGCAGAGUGAGAUGUUUUCUUCCUACAAGACACACUGUACCUUUAAGGGCAUGUUGGGAUUGUCACCACAUGGAGCUGUCACUUUUAUGUCAUCAUUGUAGGCUGGAUCUGUGAGUGACAAGGAGAUAUUCAAGCAGUCUGGAAUUAUUUCCUUACUCACCCCUGACAUGGCCAUUACGGUGGAUAAGGGCUUUCUCGUAGAUGACAUUGUUCCAUGCAAGGUCUACCGGCCAGCCUUUGUCAAGACGCACACAGAUGCCAACGCAUGAGAUGACAAAGUCACACCAGCUACAACCUGUGAGAAGGAUUUGACCUUGCACCUGCCAGUAGUAAGCAUGAGAUCUCUUCAACUUCAGCUCUCCAUGCUGUAUCUUCAGGUAAGGGCUAGCCCCCUCUUCAUCUCCAUGGUCUGCAUACCAGAUCCCUUGAACAUCCACUCAGCUAGGCGGUCAGCUGAGGUCUCUCCCAAGGACAUGGCAAACCUCUCAGAAACGAGAGGAUGUUAUUCUCAUUUUCCUGAGCUGAUGCCAUUCUGGGCUGCUGCUCUGCUCCCUUGUGUAGCAACCUGGACUUUGUGUGACAUCUCGUAGGUUGUUUCUAAUGCUUUGACAUGGAACUUCUCCUGAUGGCUAAGGACGUAAUCACACUGGGAAGCCUGAAGCCUGUAGCCAUCUAAUGGAAGUAUUGGUGGAGAAGGGGCAUCGGCAGCACUUUGAGAUAUCAGCUGAUGUACGAAGGGCUAUAUAAAUAAAUUUGAUUUGAUUUGAUUUGAUCGGCAAUCUUCACAAUUUCACGGGUCUUUGGCUGUGGAAGCUGAUAGGACAGCACACUGCCAGCUUGCACUGGCCCAAAGGCAGACUCAACCAGGGGCACGUCAGCUGACAUUUCCAUUGUUGUCACAAGAGGGGGAGUAAGUGGAGAAAAGUUGGCAUAUGUUUCUGAGACGCGGAGAAGGUCCAUGUCAGGCAUGUAUCCAUUGAGCGCUUUGUAGAGAGAACUUCUGCAAAACAUUUUAAAUCCUUAACAUCAGGUUGGAGAGAUUACUAUGACAAAGACUCAUGUAACUUUCCAGAAACAGCAAAAGCCCGAAAGUUCAAAUAUAAUAUCAAUUCAAAUUGAUUAAAAUAUAUAGAUGAUGUAUUUCCCCCCAGUCUUUAUCCCAAACAUGUGUCAUUACAUCGUAAAGAUGCUAGGCUUAUCAUCUGGACACAAAAAAAAUCACUAGGAAAUGUUUUUCUAAAAUGUUUCCAUUCUCGGAACCUCCAACGUACCUUAUUCCAUCAGCACACGAGUUAGUAGGUUUAUAGAACUCUAUCCCAUCAACCGGACCUGGCUUCAACACCCUAAUUAACAAGGAUUUACUGUUACAUAGGCUGAAUACUUUUCAGGUGCAUUUUCAUAUGGUUAUUGAUGGACUCACAAGUGUUCUUGGCUUGUGCCAAUGCUGUUCUGUGUCUGUGCAGCUGUGAACUGGUGGUGCAGCAAGAAUGUUUAGUUGAGAGUAGUGCGCUGUCUGGUAAAUAAUGGCCACCAGAGGAUUGCACACAGCACUUCCUGCAACACAGGAGCGCAGUGGCUUUGAACCACUAUCACCAGUACGGAGUGCUUUAACACCAUCUGUGAAGCUACGUGUGAUGAAAGACUGAAGUGAGAAACAAGAAUGAUGCGGCCCAUAAAUAACAAUAAACAUAGUAGUGUCUAAUCUUCUUAACUAGGCGCUCAUUUAACUAUACAGGAAUACUUUGUGUCUCAGUAACACAAUUACCAAACACUGCAUCAACAGAUCUUUACCAAAUAUCCGCAAAUAACCUCAAUCAUUAAUAUCUACCUAUUGUUAAGAUUAAACAUAGUUACUGUCUCCAACACAUUUUGACCAUGAUGACAGUGUCCCACAGGAGAUGUUUAACAAUGUCCCUAGUAGCUAUUUAUAACCUUUCCAUACUCUCAUGCUGUGCGGCGUUUCACUCUUCCUCGUGGACCUGUGACAGGCAGCCCUCGGGGUGAUCUCCCCAGUCAAUGUAUAUUUGUUAGAUACUGUGUAG
ensembl:lncRNA